rnacentral:rRNA from 1 species
GACGAACGCUGGCGGCGUGCUUAACACAUGCAAGUCGAACGGAAAGGCCCUGCUUUUGUGGGGUGCUCGAGUGGCGAACGGGUGAGUAACACGUGAGUAACCUGCCCUUGACUUUGGGAUAACUUCAGGAAACUGGGGCUAAUACCGGAUAGGAGCUCCUGCUGCAUGGUGGGGGUUGGAAAGUUUCGGCGGUUGGGGAUGGACUCGCGGCUUAUCAGCUUGUUGGUGGGGUAGUGGCUUACCAAGGCUUUGACGGGUAGCCGGCCUGAGAGGGUGACCGGCCACAUUGGGACUGAGAUACGGCCCAGACUCCUACGGGAGGCAGCAGUGGGGAAUAUUGCACAAUGGGCGGAAGCCUGGUGCAGCAACGCCGCGUGCGGGAUGACGGCCUUCGGGUUGUAAACCGCUUUCGCCUGUGACGAAGCGUGAGUGACGGUAAUGGGUAAAGAAGCACCGGCUAACUACGUGCCAGCAGCCGCGGUGAUACGUAGGGUGCGAGCGUUGUCCGGAUUUAUUGGGCGUAAAGGGCUCGUAGGUGGUUGAUCGCGUCGGAAGUGUAAUCUUGGGGCUUAACCCUGAGCGUGCUUUCGAUACGGGUUGACUUGAGGAAGGUAGGGGAGAAUGGAAUUCCUGGUGGAGCGGUGGAAUGCGCAGAUAUCAGGAGGAACACCAGUGGCGAAGGCGGUUCUCUGGGCCUUUCCUGACGCUGAGGAGCGAAAGCGUGGGGAGCGAACAGGCCUAGAUACCCUGGUAGUCCACGCUGUAAACGGUGGGUACUAGGUGUGGGGUCCAUUCCACGGGUUCCGUGCCGUAGCUAACGCUUUAAGUACCCCGCCUGGGGAGUACGGCCGCAAGGCUAAAACUCAAAGGAGUUGACGGGGCCCCGCACAAGCGGCGGAGCAUGCGGAUUAAUUCGAUGCAACGCGUAGAACCUUACCUGGGUUUGACAUGGAUCGGGAGUGCUCAGAGAUGGGUGUGCCUCUUUUGGGGUCGGUUCACAGGUGGUGCAUGGCUGUCGUCAGCUCGUGUCGUGAGAUGUUGGGUUAAGUCCCGCAACGAGCGCAACCCUUGUUCACUGUUGCCAGCACGUUAUGGUGGGGACUCAGUGGAGACCGCCGGGGUCAACUCGGAGGAAGGUGGGGAUGACGUCAAGUCAUCAUGCCCCUUAUGUCCAGGGCUUCACGCAUGCUACAAUGGCUGGUACAGAGAGUGGCGAGCCUGUGAGGGUGAGCGAAUCUCGGAAAGCCGGUCUCAGUUCGGAUUGGGGUCUGCAACUCGACCUCAUGAAGUCGGAGUCGCUAGUAAUCGCAGAUCAGCAACGCUGCGGUGAAUACGUUCCCGGG